ensembl:lncRNA
CGGCAUCAGAGUUUUCCUGGCUUCGGAUCGAUGAUAAAUAAACAAAUGCUUAACUUUAUGGAUCUGUUAAAAUGGUCCUGCUGAUCUCUUUCUCAUUGGCUUUCUCUCUUAUACUCUGUCUAGUUCCACAUCUCUGGGGAAUUGGGCGAUUUAGCCCCGUUUCAUGGCUGAUGUGACCUCCACCAAGGUGGAGGGAUGAUAGUUGGUCAUUAAGGCCGUUUUAUAUAUACUGGGGACUGUGUAAAGAGAAAAAAAAACAGUUGUUAAGAGAAGGUUAAUGUGCUGCUUGUAAAAUCCCAGAGUAUUUUAUUUUUUUUUAUUUCUAUUUCACCAAGUUCUCCAUCAUUCCAUCUUUUUAGGCCUGGAUCCGGGGGAACUGGAGACGUGUGGGCUUUUCCAUGAGGAAGAAGAAACAGAAGGGACACAAGGCCAUUCUCAGGUGAAAGAGACACAGAGGUCGUCCACUUUGGAGGACAUGGCACACGAUGCGCAGACAGACAGCAAAUUACAGUCCACAGGUUCUGUUUGUGACGUCUCUAAGUCGUGCUGUCCAGCGAUGAUGAAGGAGCUGAAGAGAUGAAUGACGUGUCUGGAAGUUUGCAAGGGCAGCGGAACUCAGGGACGCUCAGGUAACGGAUAAAGAAUGGGUGUAGAUUUCAAAAAUAUGCCCCUAUUGACUACAUGUCAUAAACAUAUACAUUUAUCUAUUGAGCGCAUGCUUUCAUCCAAGUCAAAUUACAAAUGAUAAAUGUUUAAUGCUGUUUGUGGUUAUCCACUCACUCACCUUAUUAACAUUGAGAAUGUAAAUAUUAUAAGAUAAACCAUGAUUAUUAAAAUAUUGUAAGAAUUUUGCAGCUGUAGAUAUGAUAAAAUAAGUAUUGUGUGGUUUUUGGCUUUUUUUUAAACUUUUUUUAUAAAAGCAUGGCUCUAACAAAUGCAGAUGAGUUUUAAACACAUUUAAACACAUUAAAAAUGCAUAGUAAUAUAUAUAUCUAUCUAUCUAUACAUAUAUAUACACAGCGUAUUAAGUUAAUGUAUCCUUGCUGAAUAAAAUAAUUAAAAUCUUAUUGAAUGGUAGUGUA